GCUGGGUGCAGUGGCACACACCUGUAAUCCCAGUAGCUCAGGAGGCUAAGGCAGGAGAAUUGUUAGUUCAAAGCCAGCCUCAGCAAAUUAGCAAGGCCCUAAGCAACUCAAUGAGACCCUGUCUCUA
rnacentral:sRNA from 1 species